GUCCCAGACUCCUACGGGAGGCAGCAGUGGGGAAUAUUGCACAAUGGGGGAAACCCUGAUGCAGCGACGCCGCGUGAGUGAAGAAGUCUUUCGGUAUGUAAAGCUCUAUCAGCAGGGAAGAAAAUGACGGUACCUGACCAAGAAGCCCCGGCUAACUACGUGCCAGCAGCCGCGGUAAUACGUAGGGGGCAAGCGUUAUCCGGAUUUACUGGGUGUAAAGGGAGCGUAGACGGCUGUGCAAGUCAGAAGUGAAAGCCCGGGGCUCAACCCCGGGACUGCUUUUGAAACUGCGUGGCUGGAGUGCAGGAGAGGUAAGCGGAAUUCCUGGUGUAGCGGUGAAAUGCGUAGAUAUUAGGAGGAACACCAGUGGCGAAGGCGGCUUACUGGACUGUAACUGACGUUGAGGCUCGAAAGCGUGGGGAGCAAACAGGAUUAGAUACCCUGGUAUA
rnacentral:rRNA from 1 species